GCAUAUCAAUAAGCGGAGGAAAAGAAACCAACAGGGAUUACCUCAGUAACGGCGAGUGAAGCGGUAACAGCUCAAAUUUGAAAUCUGCCGCAAGGCCGAGUUGUAAUUUGUAGAAGAUGCUUUGGGUAUGGCCCCGGUCUAAGUUCGUUGGAACACGACGUCAUAGAGGGUGAGAAUCCCGUAUGUGACUGGGUGCUUUUGCCUAUGUAAAGCUCUUUCGACGAGUCGAGUUGUUUGGGAAUGCAGCUCAAAAUGGGUGGUAUAUUUCAUCUAAAGCUAAAUAUUGGCCAGAGACCGAUAGCGCACAAGUAGAGUGAUCGAAAGAUGAAAAGCACUUUGGAAAGAGAGUUAAACAGUACGUGAAAUUGUUGAAAGGGAAGCGCUUGCAACCAGACUUGCACGCUGUUGAUCAUCCAGGCUUCUGUUUGGUGCACUCAACUGUGUUCAGGCCAGCAUCGGUUUUGGUGGUGGGAUAAAGGCCUUGGGAAUGUAGCUUCUUUCGGGGAGUGUUAUAGCCCUCGGUGCAAUGCCGCCUACCGGGACCGAGGACCGCGCUUCGGCUAGGAUGCUGGCGUAAUGGUUGUAAGCGACCCGUCUUGAAACACGGACCAAGGAGUCUAACAUCUAUGCGAGUGUUUGGGUGUCAAACCCAUACGCGUAAUUAACGUGAACGGAGGUGAGAACCCUUAAGGGUGCAUCAUCGACCGAUCCUGAUGUCUUCGGAUGGAUUUGAGUAAGAGCAUAGCUGUUGGGACCCGAAAGAUGGUGAACUAUGCCUGAAUAGGGUGAAGCCAGAGGAAACUCUGGUGGAGGCUCGCAGCGGUUCUGACGUGCAAAUCGAUCGUCAAAUUUGGGUAUAGGGGCGAAAGACUAAUCGAACCAUCUAGUAGCUGGUUCCUGCCGAAG
rnacentral:rRNA from 1 species